rnacentral:rRNA from 1 species
GACGAACGCUGGCGGCGUGCCUAAUACAUGCAAGUUGAGCGAUGAAGAUUGGUGCUUGCACCAAUUUGAAGAGCAGCGAACGGGUGAGUAACGCGUGGGGAAUCUGCCUUUGAGCGGGGGACAACAUUUGGAAACGAAUGCUAAUACCGCAUAAUAACUUUAAACAUAAGUUUUAAGUUUGAAAGAUGCAAUUGCAUCACUCAAAGAUGAUCCCGCGUUGUAUUAGCUAGUUGGUGAGGUAAAGGCUCACCAAGGCGAUGAUACAUAGCCGACCUGAGAGGGUGAUCGGCCACAUUGGGACUGAGACACGGCCCAAACUCCUACGGGGGGCAGCAGUAGGGAAUCUUCGGCAAUGGACGAAAGUCUGACCGAGCAACGCCGCGUGAGUGAAGAAGGUUUUCGGAUCGUAAAACUCUGUUGGUAGAGAAGAACGUUGGUGAGAGUGGAAAGCUCAUCAAGUGACGGUAACUACCCAGAAAGGGACGGCUAACUACGUG